rnacentral:rRNA from 1 species
AGAGUUUGAUCCUGGCUCAGAACGAACGCUGGCGGCGUGCCUAACACAUGCAAGUCGAACGAGAAAGGAGACUUCGGUCUCUGAGUAGAGUGGCGCACGGGUGAGUAACACGUGGAUAACCUGCCCUGAAGUCUGGGAUAACAUUUCGAAAGGGAUGCUAAUACCGGAUAAGCCUACGACCUCUUCGGGGGAUGUAGGAAAAGAUUUAUUGCUUCAGGAUGGGUCCGCGGUCCAUUAGCUAGUUGGUAGGGUAAUGGCCUACCAAGGCUUCGAUGGAUAGCUGGUCUGAGAGGAUGAUCAGCCACACUGGAACUGAGACACGGUCCAGACUCCUACGGGAGGCAGCAGUGGGGAAUUUUGCGCAAUGGACGAAAGUCUGACGCAGCAACGCCGCGUGAAGGAUGAAGGCCCUUGGGUCGUAAACUUCUGUCAGUGGGGAAGAAAUGCCCGCAAGGAGCUGACGUACCCACAAAGAAGCACCGCUAACU